rnacentral:misc_RNA from 1 species
CUCCCUCCCGGCCAGGAUCUCGCCGGCUCCAUCACACGCAAAGCCACUCCCUCCCAUCGAGGCCAAAGCCUCAACCAGGAGAGAGGACCGGACGGCUCGGCACCAGAGAAUCCGGAAGAAGGUGGAGGGCACCCCGGAGAGGCCGAGGAUGGCCAUAUUCCGGUCCAACAAGCACCUGUACGUCCAGGUGAUUGAUGACAGCAAGAUGCAUACCUUGGCGGCUGCUUCAACGAUGCAGAAGGCUAUCUUGGAGGGAUUUGAUUACUCUGCCGGACCAACCAUUGAGGUGGCGAAGAAGGUUGGUGAAGUGAUUGCCAAGAAUUGCUUGGAGAAGGGUAUUGCGAAGGUGGCUUUCGACCGAGGUGGUUAUCCUUACCACGGAAGGAUUCAGGCUCUUGCCGACGCUGCUCGAGAAAAUGGCCUAGAGUUCUAAAUUGUUACAGUUUUUCGGAUGAAGUCCUUGUUUUGUAUUAUCCCCGAUUAACUUUGGUGCUAAUGAAUCUGG